AGAGUUUGAUCAUGGCUCAGAUUGAACGCUGGCGGCAGGCUUAACACAUGCAAGUCGAGCGGAGAUGAGGUGCUUGCACCUUAUCUUAGCGGCGGACGGGUGAGUAAUGCUUAGGAAUCUGCCUAUUAGUGGGGGACAACAUUCCGAAAGGAAUGCUAAUACCGCAUACGUCCUACGGGAGAAAGCAGGGGAUCUUCGGACCUUGCGCUAAUAGAUGAGCCUAAGUCGGAUUAGCUAGUUGGUGGGGUAAAGGCCUACCAAGGCGACGAUCUGUAGCGGGUCUGAGAGGAUGAUCCGCCACACUGGGACUGAGACACGGCCCAGACUCCUACGGGAGGCAGCAGUGGGGAAUAUUGGACAAUGGGGGGAACCCUGAUCCAGCCAUGCCGCGUGUGUGAAGAAGGCCUUAUGGUCGUAAAGCACUUUAAGCGAGGAGGAGGCUACUGAGACUAAUACUCUUGGAUAGUGGACGUUACUCGCAGAAUAAGCACCGGCUAACUCUGUGCCAGCAGCCGCGGUAAUACAGAGGGUGCGAGCGUUAAUCGGAUUUACUGGGCGUAAAGCGUGCGUAGGCGGCUUUUUAAGUCGGAUGUGAAAUCCCCGAGCUUAACUUGGGAAUUGCAUUCGAUACUGGGAAGCUAGAGUAUGGGAGAGGAUGGUAGAAUUCCAGGUGUAGCGGUGAAAUGCGUAGAGAUCUGGAGGAAUACCGAUGGCGAAGGCAGCCAUCUGGCCUAAUACUGACGCUGAGGUACGAAAGCAUGGGGAGCAAACAGGAUUAGAUACCCCGGUAGUCCAA
rnacentral:rRNA from 1 species